UUCCUACGGGGCGCAGCAGUGAGGAAUAUUGGUCAAUGGGCGGAAGCCUGAACCAGCCAAGUCGCGUGAGGGAAGAAGGCCCUGCGGGUCGCAGACCUCUUUGGACGGGGAGCAAGGCCGCCGACGUGUCGGCGGAAGGAGAGUACCCGUAGAACAAGCAUCGGCUAACUCCGUGCCAGCAGCCGCGGUAAUACGUAGGGGGCAAGCGUUAUCCGGAUUUACUGGGUGUAAAGGGAGCGUAGACGGCAUGGCAAGUCAGAUGUGAAAGCCCGGGGCUCAACCCCGGGACUGCAUUUGAAACUGUC
rnacentral:rRNA from 1 species